rnacentral:rRNA from 1 species
GGGAGCCCCGAGAUGGGUACUGAGACAACGACCCAGGCCUUACGAGGCGCAGCAGGCGCGAAACCUCCGCAAUACACGAAAGUGUGACGGGGUUACCCAAAGUGUUCAUUUAUGAACUGUGGCAGGUGGGUAAUGUCCCCUGCUAGAAAGGAGAGGGCAAGGCUGGUGCCAGCCGCCGCGGUAAAACCAGCUCUUCAAGUGGUCGGGAUAAUUAUUGGGCUUAAAGUGUCCGUAGCUGGUUUGGUAAGUUCCUGGUAAAAUCGGAUAGCUUAACUAUCUGCAUGCUAGGAAUACUACCAUACUAGAGGGCGGGAGAGGUCUGAGGUACUACAGGGGUAGGGGUGAAAUCUUAUAAUCCUUGUAGGACCACCAGUGGCGAAGGCGUCAGACUGGAACGCGCCUGACGGUGAGGGACGAAAGCCAGGGGAGCGAACCGGAUUAGAUACCCGGGUAGUCCUGGCCGUAAACGAUGCAUACUAGGUGAUGGUACGGCCAUGAGCCGUAUCAGUGCCGUAGGGAAACCGUUAAGUGUGCCGCCUGGG